rnacentral:SRP_RNA from 2 species
AAUAUAUGCGUGCAACAAUUAUAUAGGAACCUGGUCAGAGUAGGAAUACAGCAGCCAUAACUAUCCCUGUUUGUGUGCACUUUUUUAUUGGAAUUU